CACCACCUACCGGCCGCAUGGCACCCAUGGCCGUCCUUUUCCUCCUGAUAUGAUGGUCACGAUGGCCGAGGUGACGCUGGGUUCAGCUGGGGGCACCACCAGCGAGCUGACGCCGCCGGGAGCUGCUGGAGGCAUCGCCGGCGGCAGCGAGCUGACGCCGCCGGGACCUGCUGGAGACAUCGCUGGCGGCAAGACGACGACCCCGGGAUCUGGUGGAGGAACCGCCAACGAGCUCACGCCAGGAUCCGCUGGAGGAAGUGCCACUACGACCGCUGGUGUCGCCACUUUGCUCCAGCAGGAGCUAUCGCUACUUGAUCUCGGAAGCAAUUGCUCCGUCGACUGCAUGAGGUGCCUUUUUUUCACCAUCGUGCCCUGCUUUGCUGAUGGAAUUAUCUGUUUGGACCCAUUGGUCGUGGCCAUGUGCUUCAUCGAGAACAUCGACCUCGUUGAGAACUGCUUCGGCACCGGCGAGGGCAGCGCCAGCGGCGAGCGCAAGCUGACGACCCCGGGAUCUGCUGGAGGACCAGCUAGCGAGCUGAUGCCGGGAUUAGCUGGGGCAAGUGCCACUACGGCAUUGCCCCGGCAGGAGUUGGGCCUACUUGAUGAUAUUGGGAGGAACUGCUCCAACGACUGCAAGGACUGCCUCCUUAACAGCAUCGGCUCCUGCGCUAUUGGUGGAAUCAUAUGUGGCACUCCUUGGGGCGUCUUCACGUGCCUCAUCCAGAGGUUCAGCAUCAUUGUGGGAUGCUUCGGCACCAAGCCAACCUAGUUGUUGACUAAGCUUUGUAAUACUGUGAAGUAGAUGAUAAUGGAUCUUGCAUCUACAUCAGGUAACAUUCACAUAUAUUGUACCCACAUGCAUUGCUUCUUGAUGUAUGGGCAGGCAGUACCCAGCCGUGUUUGUAGCUUCAAUUUUUAGUUUAUAUUACGUGUAUGUGUAAUCUCCAGUACUGUAUGUGGCAUCAUCGAUUAAAAUUAAAUAAAGAGAUGUAGUAUAUUUUACCAUUUGAC
rnacentral:lncRNA from 1 species